AAAUUGAAGAGUUUGAUCAUGGCUCAGAUUGAACGCUGGCGGCAGGCCUAACACAUGCAAGUCGAACGGUAACAGGAAGCAGCUUGCUGCUUUGCUGACGAGUGGCGGACGGGUGAGUAAUGUCUGGGAAACUGCCUGAUGGAGGGGGAUAACUACUGGAAACGGUGGCUAAUACCGCAUAACGUCGCAAGACCAAAGAGGGGGACCUUCGGGCCUCUUGCCAUCAGAUGUGCCCAGAUGGGAUUAGCUUGUUGGUGAGGUAACGGCUCACCAAGGCGACGAUCCCUAGCUGGUCUGAGAGGAUGACCAGCCACACUGGAACUGAGACACGGUCCAGACUCCUACGGGAGGCAGCAGUGGGGAAUAUUGCACAAUGGGCGCAAGCCUGAUGCAGCCAUGCCGCGUGUAUGAAGAAGGCCUUCGGGUUGUAAAGUACUUUCAGCGGGGAGGAAGGUGUUGCGGUUAAUAACCGCAGCAAUUGACGUUACCCGCAGAAGAAGCACCGGCUAACUCCGUGCCAGCAGCCGCGGUAAUACGGAGGGUGCAAGCGUUAAUCGGAAUUACUGGGCGUAAAGCGCACGCAGGCGGUCUGUCAAGUCGGAUGUGAAAUCCCCGGGCUCAACCUGGGAACUGCAUUCGAAACUGGCAGGCUUGAGUCUUGUAGAGGGGGGUAGAAUUCCAGGUGUAGCGGUGAAAUGCGUAGAGAUCUGGAGGAAUACCGGUGGCGAAGGCGGCCCCCUGGACAAAGACUGACGCUCAGGUGCGAAAGCGUGGGGAGCAAACAGGAUUAGAUACCCUGGUAGUCCACGCCGUAAACGAUGUCUACUUGGAGGUUGUGCCCUUGAGGCGUGGCUUCCGGAGCUAACGCGUUAAGUAGACCGCCUGGGGAGUACGGCCGCAAGGUUAAAACUCAAAUGAAUUGACGGGGGCCCGCACAAGCGGUGGAGCAUGUGGUUUAAUUCGAUGCAACGC
rnacentral:rRNA from 1 species